AAACAAGAUGGGUGUUUCAGUGACAGAAAUAAUCUUAUUAGUGAUGAUUUAUCAAUGACAAGCAGCAAAACACCUGCGGAAAGAGACAGAUGUACAAGGAUAAUAGCAAUAUCUUUAAAGUCAAGAUUCCAGCUUCUUAAAUGUGGAUAUUUUCUAGUCACUUCACUCCUCUAUGACAACAAGAUGAAUAUCUUUCGACUGAGGACUUCAUUGUGGACAUGCUGAGAAUUAUCAACUAGAGAGUCUGUGGCUGCGCAAAGAUCCAAACUUCAUCAAUCAUUAAUGGUUGACUGCAAAGUGACCUUGCUGGUUUUAAGCUGCAGUGGAGCUGGGAAUAUAAGGAGUUUUCACUCAGUUUCCAAUAAAUGGAGAAGAUGUAGGUUCAGUCUGAUCCAGGUCUGCGGCCUUCAUCUGACUCAGGAUUACGACCUUAUGUUGGACACAGUGAUGUCGGGUUUGCUGUCAUGACCUCUGGAGGGGAAUCCUGGACCUCCAGGGUAGGAGAUGCCUCUCUCUCCCUUCUGUCCUGGAAUACCAGGGGCACCUGGGCGACCUCCGAUGUUCACACCUGGAUACAAACACAACAAAAUCAUCAAAAUCUUCAACAGCCGUCGCUGUUGUUUCUUCUACUUCGUAAGCGAAGACCUUUAGGUCCACCAAGUCCAUUAAGUCCGUCCAAACCAGGGGAUCCAGGCAAGCCUGCAAAAACACAACACGGACCUCCAGGACUUCCAGGACCUCCAGGAGAUCCGUCUCCUCCUCUUCUUCCAGGGUAGCCGGACUGUCCCUUUGGCCCAGGGAAACCAGGAGAGCCUGCAGAGGACGACCUCCUUCACCAGGAGCUCCUUUCGCUCCGGGGUAACCUGGACCUCCUGGGAAGCCAUUGUCACCGGGGGUGCCGUCGUUGCCACGCCCACCUGAGGAAGAGAUAAACACCUGGUGAAUUGUGGGUUUUAACCAUCUUCUCAGAGCUACGGCAGCUCCUGAAGCUCCAGGAUAACCAAACGUAUCUCCGGGUUGACCUGAGGAACAAAACAUACAUGCCAGGGAAUCCCAUGAUUCCAGGUUCUCCCUUUGGUCCGGGGUAGCCUGGACCUCCCGGUCGCCCUGGGAACCCAGGAUCUCCCCGCUGUCCUUUACUCUGCUCGGCAUAACCAGGAAGUCCAGGGAGACCCUGACGACCAGGAAGUCGUGUUACCUCUGGGUCCGGGGAAACCAGGAAGGCCGCUGCUCCCGGGGGUUCCAGGUUCUCCUUUCUCCACAUACUCUUGUCUAACAGGAGGAGAGGGCAAGCCAGGGGGUCCAGGGUUUCCUCUGUCACCUGCA